CCUGUGUCUGGAUUCAGGCAAAGUUCCUGCAAUAUCGGUGAGUGAUCGGGSAUGUGACCUAUCUUUAUAAUCUGAUGUUAUUGUUGUUUUAGGGGGAGGAAAACAAAAAAAUGAGUCAUUUCCCAAACUGUUCCUCUCCUCCCUACACAAGCAAUUCUCCAAUUCAAGCACUGCAACCUGUUCUGCAAGGGCUGUUAACUUUUCAUCCUAAUUGCUUAAUUAAGCUGUCUUGAUCCAGCGGGAAAAGUUGCUUCAAGCCAGACGCCUUCCCGCAGCCAGGUUUCGUGUCACCCGAGCAGAAGUGUCACCAGCAGCGCGCAGAGAGUCAGCGCAGGGGAAGCUCCUGCUCGUGUGCACCUGAACCGGGAAGGAAAUCCGAGCCUUCUCCAGCAGCCGGUUAUGCAGCYGCCGCGGGCUGGCUGCCGUCGCCGUCUCCUGCAAAACCACCCAGUGCAAUAAAUGGGAGCUGCCCCAUGGAUCGUGGCGAAGGGGAUCGUCGUGACAUACCUUCACC
rnacentral:lncRNA from 1 species